rnacentral:misc_RNA from 1 species
UUUCUUGAUCCAGAUCAGUCGCCCGAACAGCUUUCCGUCGUGCUCCCGCUGCUAUUGACCCGGGUCAAUUUUGCUGGGGUGGGGCGGGUUUAACGUUCACCCAUCGGACAUCGCAACGGAUUCGGAGGACGGUCUCAUGUUCGUCGAUAGCGUAGUACUCGCAGGGGUGGUCACGGUCGGCCUGAUGGUCGUUUUCCUGGGCGGUGUUGCUUAUUUCAUCUGGCGGGACUCGAAGAAGAAGCGCAGCUGACCCGCUGAUACAGAGCACGCAAGGCAUUUAGGCGACCUCAGGUCGCCUUUU